UCACCUAUAGCUCAAAGGCAGAGCAGGCGACCUGUAGUCGCCCGAUCCUGGUUCAAUUCCAGGUAGGUGAA
rnacentral:tRNA from 1 species